UUUAUAUAGGAAAAACUUCAGAUACCACCCUUGUGGUUUCACACUUUCUCACUUUAGUACCCUGUGGUUUAAAGUGUAUCAACUUAGUGUUCUGUGGUUUUAUUUUUAUCUUUCUAUUAUCGAUUCUAUUAAUUUUUUUUUGUUAAAUCAGUGAUAAAAUUAAAACUAAAAAGUAUUGAAGUGAAUAUUCGAUAAACUUAGGUGGGAUAUCUGAAGUUUUUUUUGUAUUUAAUUUAAUGAAAUAUUAACGAAAAAAUUGACGAAAAAAUAAAAAUAAAACCACAAGAUACUAACUUGAUACACUUUAAAUCACAUCGUACUAAAAUAAAAAAAUGUGAAGCUACAGGGGUGAUUUUUGAAGUUUAUGCUUUUAUUUAUUUUUAGGG
rnacentral:lncRNA from 1 species